CCUACGGGAGGCUGCAGUGGGGAAUAUUGGACAAUGGGGGUAACCCUGAUCCAGCCAUGCCGCGUGUGUGAAGAAGGCCCUCGGGUUGUAAAGCACUUUCAGUGAGGAAGAACGCCUGGUGGUUAAUACCCAUCAGGAAAGACAUCACUCACAGAAGAAGCACCGGCUAACUCCGUGCCAGCAGCCGCGGUAAUACGGAGGGUGCGAGCGUUAAUCGGAAUUACUGGGCGUAAAGCGCGCGUAGGUGGCUUGAUAAGCCGGUUGUGAAAGCCCCGGGCUCAACCUGGGAACGGCAUCCGGAACUGUCAAGCUAGAGUGCAGGAGAGGAAGGUAGAAUUCCCGGUGUAGCGGUGAAAUGCGUAGAGAUCGGGAGGAAUACCAGUGGCGAAGGCGGCCUUCUGGACUGACACUGACACUGAGGUGCGAAAGCGUGGGUAGCAAACAGGAUUAGAUACCCGAGUAGUC
rnacentral:rRNA from 1 species